AGAAGAAAAAACGGUGUACUUCCUAAUGACAUUAUCACCACCAGAGGGCGGGUGUUGGUAGAAGGAAAUUGUUAUUUAUUUUCGUACAUAUUUUCAUGACCGAACAGUGCACACUGCAGUUAUCCAAUUUUUGUUUUAUAUUCUCGCGCCCGACUAAAUAGAAAAACACACAAACUCAUAUAAGCACAUAACCACUCACAUAUUGGGAGGCUUGGGAAAGCUGACAGUUGGAAUGUGUAAGAAUGGCAAACAAACUGAGAUAUUGUAGGUUAGAGCGUGAAUAUGUGUAUGUGCAUAGGUAUGCCAUACAAGUGAACUGUACAUAAAGAGCUCAUAUUGGGAAACUGGGUGACUACUUAAACGUGCAUACUGGCUGCAGUGUCGCACUGACGCACCGACGUCGCAAUCAGUUUGAUAUGCUAUUUUUAGAAUCUCGACAGAAUUAAGGUUGCAGUGACAAAACAAAAGGAAAAACACAGCUAUUGACUAUGUCGUAGUGGUGCUGCAAUUAACGGCGCUGUUGAAAUUUGUUGUUGUUGCUUUUGCUGUAUGCACGUGUAUGAAUGAAACGGUUAGGCGAUGGGAAAAGUAGCCAUAAAAGCAAUAACAACUUAUACUAAAAUCUAUGCGCUGAUAAGGGGAUUCACUGGCGUUAUCGCUGCUAUUUGCACACUUUCGUCAUAUCGCUUCGCAGAAAUUUCACAAAUAUGUGAAAAAAUCACUAUCGACUAUUCAAAAAAAAUAAUAAUAAUAAC